rnacentral:rRNA from 1 species
UGAAUUCAUCUCCGGGGGUAGAGCACUGUUUCGGCUAGGGGGCCAUCCCGGCUUACCAACCCGAUGCAAACUGCGAAUACCGGAGAAUGUUAUCACGGGAGACACACGGCGGGUGCUAACGUCCGUCGUGAAGAGGGAAACAACCCAGACCGCCAGCUAAGGUCCCAAAGUCAUGGUUAAGUGGGAAACGAUGUGGGAAGGCCCAGACAGCCAGGAUGUUGGCUUAGAAGCAGCCAUCAUUUAAAGAAAGCGUAAUAGCUCACUGGUCGAGUCGGCCUGCGCGGAAGAUGUAACGGGGCUAAACCAUGCACCGAAGCUGCGGCAGCGACGCUGAUGCGUUGUUGGGUAGGGGAGCGUUCUGUAAGCCUGCGAAGGUGGCCUGUGAGGGUUGCUGGAGGUAUCAGAAGUGCGAAUGCUGACAUAAGUAACGAUAAAGCGGGUGAAAAGCCCGCUCGCCGGAAGACCAAGGGUUCCUGUCCAACGUUAAUCGGGGCAGGGUGAGUCGACCCCUAAGGCGAGGCCGAAAGGCGUAGUCGAUGGGAAACGGGUUAAUAUUCCCGUACUUGGUGUUACUGCGAAGGGGGGACGGAGAAGGCUAUGUUGGCCGGGCGACGGUU